rnacentral:rRNA from 1 species
UAAAAUAUUAUAAAUUAGGUAGUAAGGGCUUAUCCGAAACCUAAAGAAUUUGGCGGUAUUUUAAAUAAUUGGAGGAACCUGUUUCUUAAUUGAUAAUCCACAACAUAUCUUGCCUCGUUUUUGUUUGUAUAUCGUUGUUUUUAGAUAAUGUUUAUAGAUUAUAAUCGAAAUUAAAAUUUUUUUAAAAAUCAAAUCAAGGUGCAGCUUGAUGGGGGUGAAAUGGGUUACAAUAUAAGUUAUGUAUAACGGAUUUAUAUGAAAUAUUAUCUUGAAGGUGGAUUCAAAAGUAAUUUAAAAUUAAAAAGUUUAUUUGAAUAAUAAUUUAAAAUAUGUA